rnacentral:rRNA from 1 species
AAUGAACGCUGGCGGCAGGCCUAACACAUGCAAGUCGAACGCCCCGCAAGGGGAGUGGCGCACGGGUGAGUAACGCGUGGGAAUAUGCCCUUCGGUUCGGAAUAACACAGGGAAACUUGUGCUAAUACCGGCUAAGAUCUACGGAUGAAAGAUUCAUCGCCGAAGGAGUAGCCCGCGUAGGAUUAGCUGGUUGGUGAGGUAACGGCUCACCAAGGCGACGAUCCUUAGCUGGUCUGAGAGGAUGAUCAGCCACACUGGGACUGAGACACGGCCCAGACUCCUACGGGAGGCAGCAGUGGGGAAUAUUGGACAAUGGGCGAAAGCCUGAUCCAGCCAUGUCGCGUGAGUGAUGAAGGCCUUAGGGUUGUAAAGCUCUUUCGCCAGGGAAGAUAAUGACGGUACCUGGAAAAGAAGCCUCGGCUAACUCCGUGCCAGCCGCCGCAGUAA